UACGGAGGGUGCAAGCGUUAUCCGGAUUUACUGGGUUUAAAGGGUGCGUAGGUGGGUAAGUAAGUCAGUGGUGAAAUCUUCGAGCUUAACUCGGAAACUGCGUCGGAUACUAUUCGGCUGGAGGAAUGGAGGGGAGACUGGAAUACUUGGUGUAGCAGUGAAAUGCGUAGAUAUCAAGUGGAACACCAGUGGCGAAGGCGAGUCUCUGGACAUUUCCUGACGCUGAGGCACGAAGGCCAGGGGAGCAAACGGG
rnacentral:rRNA from 1 species